UUUUACUUUCACCGUGCGGGCUGAAAUUCAUAGUACUAUAUACGAGGGUAGAAUAUUUCUCUAUGUAUCCAGAUAAAACUAAAGGUAAGAUCUGAUUUAAUAUAAUUGUUACUGAUUUAAGAGACUAACUGAAACGUGAACACAAACAUCAACAACCUGCGGUGGUGUAAUGUAAUAUUAACUGAGCAUCAUGCUGCUUAAACUGAUAAAUAUUCUGCAUUGUCUUCCACACACUAAUUCAACAGUCACAAGUUGAUCAUAUUGUAAAUUUAAUGACGCUCAUUGAGAAUUUGUACUAAAAAUUGACAAAACCUGACAAAACCUGCGGUGAUUGUGACGGUGUGUCUGUAUUUAACACCUUUCAAAGGAAGGUGUUAAUACAGGAGACCAGUGUUACACACAACAUGCUGCUGUUAUUGUAGUUAGGAGGAGACAUAGGUACAAUAAAAGAAGACAUAAAGAUUGCGUUUUUCCCCACAUAUGUUAAUAUGUUUUAAAUGUCAUGCAUUUAUUUUUGAUUUCGCUUCAAUAAUCGUCAACGAAGAGAAACACCAUGAUUAAACUACAGGCUAUUGUUGCCUUUUUAUAGCCAAAGAAAACUGAACAUUCACAGCCUCUGCAUUCUAAAGAAUUUCAACAUUGACAUUUAUGUCGUCCUAUUUCCCUCUUUUCACCAACAUUAUAUUUUAAACUGGGAUUUCCUUUUUCUCAGGUUGCGCUCCUCUCCAUAAUGCGCUCGUCUCCUCCCUCUAAAUCCUGUUGCUGCUACUCUGUAGGACGCUUUGAUUGGGGUACCUCACCAAUAAAAUACUAUUUUAUAUUUUAUAAGCAGUUUGCCACCACACUGUACUUUUACUCUCCAAAGACAUAUGAGUAUGUGCGUGACAACUUUAAUAAAGCUUUACCACACAGUCACACCAUCCACACAGCUGAUCCAGGAUUUACUGUAGCAUCUUUUACAAUUCUUAAAGGUCAUGUACAGGCAAACAGAGAGAAGGGAAAAGAAACAAUCUGUGCUCUCAAAUAACAAAGCAGUCUCAAAUCUUUUUGAGGAAUUACAGCUAAAAAAAAUUCUACUUUGCAUACAGUACAUCCUCUGAUAAAUAAAGUGAAGUACUUUGAUUGUAUUUCUGUGAUGUUCCUGUAGGUGACCAUGAUGCAGCAAGACUGAAGCAGCAGGUUGUGAAGGUGGGCGCCAUCAUCUUGUCUUUGCAGCGCUGAUUCUGAAGAGAACGCCUUCACAUAGGACUCAAAGGAAAUCAGUGCUUAAAGGAAACAGCAGUCCAGAGUCUGAUUCCAGCUCCGAAGAUGCCCUCAGAUUCAGAUCCAUCAACAACCCCUGACAACAUGGAGGACUCGUCCCCUGAGCGUUUCCUGUCCCCUCUCGAUGGAGUUCUUCUCUUCAGUCAUUAACUCUUGAAAACAGCAGCACAACAUGCCAGACUGUUCGACAAGUCUGUGAUUGAAUAAAUGGAAAUGGAAUCUCAUGCAUAUCUUGCUAUGCUUAUUGGCUUUAAAUGUUUAAUAUUAAAUAAGUUUGAAGGCCAUUCAUCUCAGACCGGCUGUGACAAGCUGAGCUCGUCUGUUAGCUUUGCUGUUGUUGGUCAAGAAGAAAUUAAUGUCAGUUCAAAGCCUUUUCAAAUGUGAGCUAUAAACUUAACUGCUAAAUUAUUUUACUGUGACCAACACGUUGUAGUGCUCCAGUUAAUCAGAGACAAUCAUGUCAGAUUUAAAAAAAGUUUAUUUAA